UAUUUUAUUUGUAUUUAAGAGACUAUGAGCUUCACUAUAUAUUGACCAAACUAUAUUUAUUUUGUUCCAUUUAAAGAGAAUCAAAAAUAUGGUUAAAAUUCUCAAAUUUGUUUAUGCUGCGAUUCUAUUUCUUGUUGUAACACACGUUGGAUGCAGUGGAGAAAGUUGUGAAUCUGCUUCCGAUUGUCCAUCCUUAUGGUAUAAGUGCAUUGAUCACAUUUGUAUAUGGCUACCGAUUAGUACCAGACAAAAAUGAGUAAACAAACGCAAAAUGAGUUACUGCACUAGUAAAAGAUCUAUGAAAUAAACCUUAUUCUAGAACAUUCCACGAGCUUUAAUUUAGUUUUUGGGUUGACAUCCAAUUGUUGUUUGUUUUAGUUAUGUUUUUUUUUACCUUGUAGUUAAGAUUGUAUAAGCUAUCAUAAGAUGGUGAUAACAAAAUGACGGCAUAAUUGUUUCAACGUUCCUUAACUUAA